rnacentral:rRNA from 1 species
UACGUAGGGACCAAGCGUUGUUCGGAUUUACUGGGCGUAAAGGGCGCGUAGGCGGCUUGACAAGUCACUUGUGAAAUCUCCGGGCUUAACUCGGAAUGGCCAAGUGAAACUGUCAUGCUAGAGUGCAGAAGGGGCAAUCGGAAUUCCAGGUGUAGCGGUGAAAUGCGUAGAUAUCUGGAGGAACACCGGUGGCGAAGGCGGCAUCCUGGACCGGUAUUGACGCUGAGGCGCGAAAGCCAGGGGAGCAAACGGG